rnacentral:rRNA from 1 species
UACGAAGGGGGCUAGCGUUGCUCGGAAUCACUGGGCGUAAAGGGUGCGUAGGCGGGUCUUUAAGUCAGGGGUGAAAUCCUGGAGCUCAACUCCAGAACUGCCUUUGAUACUGAAGAUCUUGAGUUCGGGAGAGGUGAGUGGAACUGCGAGUGUAGAGGUGAAAUUCGUAGAUAUUCGCAAGAACACCAGUGGCGAAGGCGGCUCACUGGCCCGAUACUGACGCUGAUGCACGAAAGCGUGGGGAGCGAUCCGG